rnacentral:lncRNA from 1 species
GAGGGAAGAAUAAAGGAACAAAUUAAACGUAUGAAAAUGUAAUUCCAGGCUUAUGUGAACUCUACUCUGGGAAGCAGCAGCACAGUGGUGAAACGACCGUGGACUUUGCAGUCUGAGAUUCACAUUCCAACUCCACGCGAGCCUCCUAAUACUGAUGUGGACUGAGUCUGCCAAUCAAACCUUUUGAGUCUCAGUCUCCUCAUCUGGAAAAUGGAGUUCGUAAUAUCCCUUAAGAAAUGGGAAAAUGUGUGCAAGGGUUCAGGUACAGUAGGCACAGGGAAGGCACUCAUUAGAAAAGUAGCCUCAGGCCGGGUGUGAUGGUACACGCCUGUAAUCCCAGCACUCGGGAGGCUGAGACAGAAGGAUCCUGUGAGUUCCAGACCAGCCUGGGCUACAUAGUGGGUUCCAGGUCAGUCUCAACUACAUAGUGAGAACCUGUCUCAACAAACCAAAACCAAACAAACAGACAAAGGUAGCCUCAUUGAUCUUCCUGAGAUCUCCUCCCCUCCCACUGCUCCCAUGAACUUUCUGAGGCCUUGGCCUUCCUCUGCCCUCACCCAUGGUCUCCUGGCAGUCACAGCACUCUUGGGCAGUAGUGGGGUGGGAGGUGUUGCAACACUGCAGGCAACGGCUAUCUUCCAGGUGCAGCAGCAGAGGGGCGGAGCACACGGUGCAGUUCUCGGUGCCAGGACCCUUGCAUUCCAUGCAGCUCUCAUGGCAUUUUUCACAGCUUGGCUAAGGCCCAGAUCCUGUGGUUCAGCAGCAACUCCAGUUACACCCCAUGUACUGCUCUCCUGGAAAUCUGUACACUUGGGACUGGAAAUCAUUCCAAAAGGCAGCCUGCUAAUUUCCACAAUGUUGUCUCUUGCUUUCCAAUUUAAGACCCUACAUCUAUUAUUGCUUCUAAUAGCCUUGGGGUUUAAAAGACAGGCAUUUUCAUAUUUCUGUCACAUUAAGAAUAGUUCACGAGGGGGUGAAGGGAGGGCAGGGACAAGUGGAAAAAAUGAGAACCAAGACCUGUCAUGUGAAGGUACAGGAUCCCAAUGAUGAAUGUAACUGUACUGUAUACCUAAAAUGUACCAAUAAACUCAAUAAAAAAGAAAAAAAAAAAGAAUAGUCCACCACCUGCUCUUCCUCACACCAAUGAACUCAACAAAUGCCGAGCCACCCCUGGGGUGUCUGUGAGUGUUAACUCUGCUCAGACUCUGAGAGGUCACUUGUGGAAGUUAGGUGGCUUUGGGUCUACAACUUGAACUUUAAUUUCAAGUAAUCUUAUGAAGAGGAUAAGCAAAAGUUAAAUGUCUGACUGCAAGGAACGAGCUAGUCAUGGACGCACCAGUUGCAUAAAAGCUACAUAUUAGGCCCCAUGAGUUCUGCUCUUCACUCUCUUGACCAUCAGUGUGUUUCAAUAGAUUUCUUUUUAGCAUCCUAUCAUUAAU